UAAUCGUACGACAUAACGCCAUAAAUCAUGACAUUGUCACGAGACAAGACACUGACAUGGCAGCAAUCUGCUCACGCACCACAAAAUAAAUGAAAUCAAAGAUAGCAGGGUGAAGUAUAUGUGUUAGAUGAUGGUGGUGAAGUUGAUUUGGAUUUGGGCAACUAUGAACGAUUUCUUGAUGUCACUUUGCAUAGCCAGAACAA